CUGGAAGCCUUUUUUCCACACUGUUCCACUCAACUUUUUACCUCCACUAGAGGGCCACAUUAUCAAGCAGGCGCUGCACUACUUCUGCACUGUGUUCAACCAUCUGUCAAUAAUAACUGCUGCUGUGAAGAGAACCAUUCUCACUCUGAAUGCUGAACAUCAGCUACUUUCUCCUCUUCAUUUCAGCCUCGUUGUACACAUGGAACAUUGGCUGUGGAUUAUUCUUGCUGCUCUUUGCUUUGAGUGUAAAGGAGAAGACAGAGUGAUCCAGCCAACAGCAGAUGUCAUUGCUACUGAAGGAGGCACAGUUACACUGGACUGUACAUUUGAGAGUUCCACCACUCCAACUUUGUUCUGGUACAAACAGGAUGGAAACAACAGCCCCAAAUUCAUACUGAGUCGCUUUCAACGGGAUCAAGGGAACACAGCAGACGAGUCCAAGGAGAGAUUUUCUUCCACACUGAAUUCCACCUUAAAAUCAGUUCCUCUGAAGAUCCAGAAGCUUCAGCUGUCUGACUCUGCUGUGUACUACUGUGCUCUGCAGCCCACAGUGACAGGAAACAGCAAAACUCUGCACACGUCACUGCACUGA